rnacentral:misc_RNA from 1 species
AAAGAUUUAAAGCAAGUUCUAGAGAUAUAUAAUCAAGGAAUGAAUAUGCACACAACAAAAGAAAUAGAUUGAUAUUGAAGUUUCAAUUAUAAGCUCAAAAGCUCACAAAAGGUAUUGAUCUUCCAUAUUAGAAUAUUCAACAUUUCAAUUAAAUUAUCACAUAAAGAAAGCUUAAGUUGUAAUUCAACUCAUUCAAUUUACCUAUGCUCUCAUCAAGCUAAAUCAAUCCAUACUCAUAAUAUACCUAAUCUCAUUAAUCUUGGA